GCGUCCGUGGUGUAAUGGUCAGCAUGCGCGCCUUCCAAGCACGCGAUAGGGGUUCGAUUCCCCUCGGACGCA
rfam:Rhabditophanes sp. KR3021 genome assembly, scaffold: RSKR_scaffold0000001